CCUACGGGUGGCAGCAGUGAGGAAUAUUGGUCAAUGGACGGAAGUCUGAACCAGCCAUGCCGCGUGCAGGAAGACGGCCUUAUGAGUUGUAAACUGCUUUUGCACAAGGGUAAACCUGAAUACGUGUAUUCAGCUGGAAGUACUUUACGAACAAGGAUCGGCUAACCCCGUGCCAGCAGCCGCGGUAAUAUGGAGGAUCCAAGCGAUAUCCGGAUUUAUUGGGUUUAAAGGGAGCGUAGGCGGAUUGAUAAGUUAGAGGUGAAAUGUCCGAGCUUAACUCGGGAACUGCCUCUAAUACUGGUAGUCUAGAGAGUAGAUGCGGUAGGCAGAAUGUAUGGUGUAGCGGUGAAAUGCUUAGAGAUCAUACAGAACACCGAUUGCGAAGGCAGCUUACCAAUCUAUAUCUGACGUUGAGGCGCGAAAGCGUGGGGAGCAAACAGGAUUAGAUACCCGUGUAGUC
rnacentral:rRNA from 1 species